GACAUAUACCUAUAACACGAAAUCCCUGUAUGCAAGCCGUACAAUAUGAACUGAACAGAUGGAAGAGUCCUGACAAAUUGAGAUUCGAUUGAAAAUAGCGAGGAAAUUAGUUAGACUAGACAAUUAUGAUAGGAUAGGAAACACCUGACCAUUUUGUCACAUUGUGGAGUCACUCCGCCUGACUUUUUUAUUCGGUCUCUUGCAUAUUUUCUCCGCAAAAAAAAAAAAAAGCCUGCCGGCCACCACAUUGUUCUUAUGACUGGAAAAACGAACUUUGCGUAUAGUAUUGACUUAGACUUGUCAUGCAUGCCUGACUCAUGAAAGAUUUUUUUUAGGGCAACCUAGAGAUUUUUCAGGUAAAUCCGUU
rnacentral:lncRNA from 1 species